GACAGAGGUCCCGAGCGUUGUUCGGAUUCAUUGGGCGUAAAGGGUGUGUAGGAGGUUGGGUAAGUCAGGUGUGAAAUCUCACAGCUUAACUGUGAAACUGCGCUUGAUACUGCUCAGCUAGAGGAUCGGAGGGGGUAACGGAAUUUAUGGUGUAGCAGUGAAAUGCGUAGAUAUCAUAAGGAACACCGGUGGCGAAGGCGGUUACCUGGAAGAUUCCUGACUCUGAAACACGAAAGCCAGGGGAGCAAACGGG
rnacentral:rRNA from 1 species